AUCUUCAUUUCCAAAGACAAAAAUGGCUAUGAAGAUCCCUACCAUUGAUUUCAAUCAGCUAACUGGUGAAAACAAGGCCAAUGCCCUGUCUGUCCUUCAUCAAGCUUGCCAAAAUUGGGGCUUCUUUUUAGUAGAGAACCAUGGGAUUGAAGAUAGGGUAUUGGAGGAGGUGAAGUUGUUGGUAAAUAAACAUUAUGACGAGAAUAUGAAAGAAGAGUUUUAUAAUUCAACUGUGGCCAAAAACUUAGGCAAAAUGACAUUAUCUAAUGUGGAUUGGGAAAGCACCUUCUUCAUUUGCCACAGACCAACCUCUAACAUCUCACACUUUGCCAACAUCUCACAAGAUCUUUGCAAAGCAAUGGAAGAAGAGUACAUUCCGGAAGUAAUAAAGAUAGCGGAGAAGCUUGCGGAGCUAAUGUGCGAAAAUUUGGGCCUACAAAAAGCCCACAUUAAGCAACUAUUCAACGGAACCAAAGGCCCAUCCGUCGGAACAAAAGUUGCGAAAUACCCAGAAUGCCCUCACCCGGACCUGGUCAGAGGCCUCCGGGAGCACACCGACGCCGGCGGAAUCAUCCUCCUCCUCCAAGACGAUCAAGUUCCCGGCCUCGAGUUCCAAAUCGACGGCGGAUGGUUCAAAAUCCCGCCGUCCAAAAACAACGCUAUUUUCGUCAACAUCGGCGACCAAAUCGAGGUGCUCACCAAUGGCAAAUACAAAAGCAUUUUGCACCGCGUUUUGGCUGAGAAACACGGCAGCAGGCUCUCUAUUGCCACGUUUUAUAAUCCGGCGAUGGAUGCCCUGAUUUCUCCGGCGCCGGAGCUUCUUUACCCUGACGGCUACCGGUUUGGGGAUUAUUUGAAGUUCUAUAAUACUACGAAAUUUGGGGAUAAAGAGAGGAGAUUUCAGUCCAUGAAGAAUAUGUGAGUCUCACGUGCGGAGGAGG
rnacentral:misc_RNA from 1 species